GUUGUCAGUUUUUUUUUUUAAAAUUCAAAUUUUAACAAUUAUAUAGAUUUUGAAACUAAUGCAACUUCAUACAGAUUCCCUUAGUAUAUGUUUUUUUGGGAAUAACUGCAUAGUAAUUUUGUCUGAAGCAGAAAAGAAAUGACCUUUCUAAUAACCUCUAAUCCUUAAUCACAAUUGAAGGUUUCCUCAUACAUUCCAUUAAACUCUUCACAAUUAAAGAUCUGCAUGUCCUGGGCUUUAUCGGGAACUAAGCAGAAUUUUAUGAUGAUUCGUCCUAAAUUUCUCAUGGGUUUCAUCUCUUCCUGCUUCAUGCUCCUAUUUGGAAACCUCAAAAUUGAUGCUUAAAUGUUUUCAUUUAUAAGUUUACUUUGCAAUUUCUUUUUUUCAAUUUAAAUGGUGAAAAAUCUAGAAAAAUGUGUGGAACUACUGAAUUUUCACGUAUGUGUCAAUUAGAUGUUGUCACUCACUUUAUUUAUAGGAUAGGAUACUUUUCAUCUUUAGCCAUCUUUAACUUGGUAUAGGAAGAUUUUUAUGUGUAUUCGUUUUUUUUAAUUCUUAUCUUAGCCAGCUUUUCUCUAAGAAAAAAAAUCUUAUGUCAACAAGUUAGUUGAUUUUCUUACAUCUCCUAAAUAACACAUGCUACACACUACUGCUAUAAAUAUAUUGUUCUGUGUACGGCAUCUACAAGUCAAUGAUAUAUGUGAAUUGUCUAGAAAGCACAAGUCACGUGGUUAAAUGUUGCAGAUAUAGAAGACAAUGAGAGAUCUGACAUAAGUAAGAUUGAAAGUUGAAUUUAUGUUAGUUUUUUUAAGAUUGACAAAACAAUAAUCCGGAAAAACUUUUUAUUACGUGAAAUGAAUUCUGCAGAUCUAUUUCCCUUAACUUUACCACUGUUGUUUGUUUAUCACUAACUUUAUUUCUUGAUAGUUGGAUGUGAUUGGUAAAGCUUGGCUUCUUGAUGACCUUUGUGAUCUCUCUUGCAAUGUUGCUGAUCCUGGUGGCAAUACUUUUAUUCUUGUAGGUCCAUAUGCUGAUUAAUUGAGAUAUUAAUUGAAUUUUUGAAAACUAUUAUUCAAGAUUGCACUUUUUUUCCAUCGACAAACUUUAUUGUCAAAAAACUGAUGUAUAAGAAGAAAUCAAUUACCGUCGAGUACCACCAUCCAUUUCCAGUUCUAUUUCAACAGACUUCACCCACAACCAUUGAGAACCACCAGAUCUUCAUCCAUAAGCCUCUCAAGCUUUCUCGAAUCAAAUCGACAAACACCCAUUUGAUAUCGAAUAAAUAAUUAAAUAUCGGAAAUGUGUUUUGGUUGAAGAGUUAAGAUUCUAUUUGAGUUCUUUAGUCCAUUUUCAAGGUACCAGUCAGUGCGUUGAGUCCCUUGGCCAUCAAAAAUUACAAAUUUUGAUUAGAAUGUCCAUUUCUUUCUCAUCUAUUGUUAUUGUAAUUUCUUUAAAUGUUUUCACUGUAGUGUUCUUUUGUUGUUGAUUUGAGUAUGUAUAUUUUGUCGUCUUAUAUUUAAAGCUGAAAAUUGGUGAUUAUGUUGGGUUUCAAUAUGAAUUAUCUAUAUAUGAUAAGAUCAAUUCUAAAUUUUAGUGAUGAAAGAGAUAUGAAAAGUCACGUAGAUUUAUCAUGGGAUGUUACAGAUCUAUCAUCUUCAAGAUGCCUUUAGUCGAUUUGGUAAAAUUGUCCAUUUCAGGUUUGUACUUUUUCACAAUCCAGUUUUCAUUGCAAUUUAUGCAAGUUUCUUUAAUUCUAUGUACCCAAUAUGUAUGUGUGUAUCAAUGUGUAUUAAAUGCAACCUUCAAUCCCCCCUCUCUCUCUCUGUAUAUCAAUGUGAGUUACUUUUCUUUCACUUUCCUCUGUAUUAAAGGAGAAUUCAGUGGAAGACUUAUCUAAGACACCCUUGGCCUAAGUAAGAGCGCUGGUAUUUUUUUUCUAUAUUUCAUCCUUGAAUUUCUGUUUAUUUCACAUUCUCAAAAUUGGGAGCUCGCAUCUGUCUUUUGAUUGGUUUGAUUUAUUGUUGUUUUGAAAUUCGAUCAUACAUCACAUGAUUAACAGAUUAAGUGGAAAUUCAAACUUAAUUUUUUAACCAUAUAUAAUUUGGCAGGAAUAGUUAAAACCUUCGAUGACACAGUAGGUUGUAUAUUUAAGUCAAAAUAUCGGGAUACAACAAUUAGGAAAGUCACUACACUAGGUAUAUGUGAAGGCAAUACUACUAGAAACCCUAUUUUUGAGAUAGCAUACAUGUGUUCUCUAUCAAAAGCCUAAAGAUCCAAGGAAAGAUACCAAUUUAAGAAAUUUUCUAUUGCACAUGAAUCAGGUAUUGGAAAAUAACAGGAAGUUCAAAGGCCAUAAGCUAGGUGUGAUGGUUAUGGUGUUCGAUGCUAUGAUCCCAGAUUUGUGGGCUGUGACAACAUGAUGUUCUACUUCCAUGGAGCAAGGGAACCUGACAUUUCUAUUCUCUAUGAUGACAACCACCAAAUUAAUGCAUAUCUAAUUGGUACACAACCACAGGGAAAGAAGUGUGACUUUUCAUGGGUUCAAACAUUUUCAGUCAUGUUUGACACCCAUAUAUUAGUUGUAGGAGCAAAGAAAGUGUCAAACUUGGAUGAAAAUUUUGAUGCUCUUACUGUACGGUGGAAUGGUGAGACAAGACAGUUGAUGUUCCGACAGAUGGAGAUGCAGAAUAGAGUGUUAACACUGCUGAGAGAUCAAUGGUGGUCAAAGGGAUAGAUGAUCUUAACAGCAUGAAGGUCACAGUUUCCAGACUACAGCAUGUAAAUGUAGUCCCCAUUAGUGAGAGAAAACAAAGGUUUACAACUAUCAGUUACCAGGAUAUGUUGCUUUUGCACAUAUAGAAACACAAUUUAAGUUUUUCAAUCUAUCUAAAGAUGUCAAAGGAACUCUAGGCAAGACUUACCAGUUGGGUUAUGUUAGUCCAAUCAUGAGAGGGGUGACGAUACCAUUUAUGGGUAGGAAAGACAAAUAUAAGAAACCAUCACUCCAUUAAGCUCCAAGCAAAUUACAGGUUCAACAGACCCCCCAAGUGUUACUUCAGCUUGAUGAUUCAAAGAUAUUAACCAAUAAGAGGUAUUUUGGUACUGCAUAAGAAUAGUAGCGUAUUGUUUGUUGACGGUCUCUGUAUUGUUUAUUAAUUAAAAUAUUGCUAUGAAUAUAAUUAUAUUUGGAUAUGUGAAUAAAGAGGGAGGAAAUCAUGC